rnacentral:rRNA from 1 species
UACGUAGGGGGCUAGCGUUGUCCGGAAUCAUUGGGCGUAAAGCGCGCGUAGGCGGCCCGGUAAGUCCGUUGUGAAAGUCAAAGGCUCAACCUUUGAAAGCCGAUGGAUACUGCCGGGCUAGAGUCCGGAAGAGGCGAGUGGAAUUCCUGGUGUAGCGGUGGAAUGCGCAGAUAUCAGGAGGAACACCGGUGGCGAAGGCGGCUACCUGGACAGAAACUGACGCUGAGGCGCGAAAGCUAGGGGAGCAAACAGG